rnacentral:tRNA from 1 species
GGAGGGGUGGCUGAGUGGUCGAAAGCGCCUCACUGCUAACGAGGUAGGGAUGUAAAAGUCUCUCGAGGGUUCGAAUCCCUCCCCUUCCG